rnacentral:rRNA from 1 species
GACGAACGCUGGCGGCGUGCUUAACACAUGCGAGUCGAACGGAAAGGCCCUGCUUUUGUGGGGUGCUCGAGUGGCGAACGGGUGAGUAACACGUGAGUAACCUGCCCUUGACUUUGGGAUAACUUCAGGAAACUGGGGCUAAUACCGGAUAGGAGCUCCUGCUGCAUGGUGGGGGUUGGAAAGUUUCGGCGGUUGGGGAUGGACUCGCGGCUUAUCAGCUUGUUGGUGGGGUAGUGGCUUACCAAGGCUUUGACGGGUAGCCGGCCUGAGAGGGUGACCGGCCACAUUGGGACUGAGAUACGGCCCAGACUCCUACGGGAGGCAGCAGUGGGGAAUAUUGCACAAUGGGCGGAAGCCUGAUGCAGCAACGCCGCGUGCGGGAGGACGGCCUUCGGGUUGUAAACCGCUUUCGCCUGUGACGAAGCGUGAGUGACGGUAAUGGUAAAGAAGCACCGGCUAACUACGUG